rnacentral:rRNA from 1 species
GGGAGUAACUACUCGAAAGAGUAGCUAAUACCGCAUACGAUCUGAGGAUGAAAGCGGGGGACCUUCGGGCCUCGCGCGAUUGGAGCGGCCGAUGGCAGAUUAGGUAGUUGGUGGGAUAAAAGCUUACCAAGCCGACGAUCUGUAGCUGGUCUGAGAGGACGACCAGCCACACUGGGACUGAGACACGGCCCAG